CGCAGCCUCACGCAGCAGCCUCCCAGGCAGGCAGCAGGCAGCAAGCGAGCUGGGUCGGGGCUCCUCUCUCCGCCUGCCUUGGAAAGCAAAGCCUCCUUCCCUCCCUUCCUCUGGACUAAGCCCUCAACUUUGGAAGGGGAACGGGGUCUCGUUGCCCACCUGCCCAGGUUUGGGAAGCUGCUGCUGACGUUGCCACCUUUGCCGCCACCCUUGUGCUACCUCCAGUGUUGCCGAGAGGAUCUACUCCGCUUGUCAACUCAUGGCGGGGAUACUUUGACCACUUGGUUAUUGCUGGGCCUUUUCCUCCUCUUUUUGGGGGACAAGAAGAAGAGGCACUCAUUCCCGCCGCUCCACCUGCCUUUGACAAGAGGUUCUUCCAAAGCCUGAAGAUACAUCCCUGAGGCCAGCGUGGAUCUACACAAAGAGCCUCCCAAUAUCCACUUGGGCGUUUCUAAGCAAAGCAAUUACUGGGUGUAAAGUCUGGAAAUUCUGGAAAAAGCAGAAAAGGGUGUGUAUAGACCUUAAGAUAAGCUCCCGAGCAUCAAGACUUGUUUUGCACCAUGCUUAUUCCAAAAAACCAAAUUCCAGGGAAGAUGGCAGUUCCUGUUAGCAAGGGAUUGCAACGCAGUGUCAACACAGACAACUGGAUCUAAAAGCAAAGGAGCAAAAGACAGGAUACAAGGGGCAAGAACUAUUGUAAGGGAAGAGUGGAGCCAGCUCGGGGCGGCUUAUGGUGGCACCCUUGGGAUUUAUUUACCUACAGAAAGGAUAUCAGAAGACACCCAAGUCGCAGCAUGUAAAAGAGCUCCUUUCGGUUUCUAAGAGGUGUUGAGGUCUUUAGGAAGGUCAAUGGGCAAAAGAGGAAGAACAGGAGGAGGAGGAGGAAGGCUACGCUGAGAAGCACAGUCUGAGAUCAGUGGGCUCCGACGUCCGCCAGCCGUUUGUUUGAAUCCAAGAGACAGGUAACAAAUAUUCAUCGAGACACUUAACUCACAACCAUGUCUUAAAUCAGCAUGCAGGUCUUCCAUCAGCAGCUGCAAAGCUCCAUGAAUCCAAUCUAUCCUAAGAAUUAAGGGAGACAACAUGGAAUGGGAAAUAAAAGAGCAGAGGAGUGGGCAGCGCUGAGGAGGGGGGAACAAUUCAGCAGGAUGGAUAGCAAGCAAGGGCUGUCUAAGUUGAAUUUGCAGUCUUGGUGGGACUUAAGGCCUAGACAUUAUGACAACUGAUCACCAGACAGGAGUCCUCUGUCCCAAAGGACCCAUUUAUACAGCUCAUAUGCUCCAAAAGUAAGUUUUUGUCUGGCCUGGAUCAUUUCAAACUGCAUAAUAAUAAUAAUAAUAAUAAUAAUAAUGAUGAUGAUGAUGAUGAUGCUGGGAUCUGCACGCAUCAUCCGAAAAUACAUCCUAGACACUUGGGAAGUGUUCAACUUGUGAUUUUGUGAUACGAAAUCCAGCAUAUCUAUCUUGUUUGCUGUGUCAUAAAUUAAUAAUAAUAAUAAUAAUAAUAAUAAUAAUAAUAAUAAUAAUAAUAAUUGGGAGCCCCCACUGGUGCAAUUGGUUAAACCCUUGUGCCUGCAGGACUGCUGACCGAAAGGUCAACAGUUCGAAUCCGGGGAGCGGGGUGAGUUCCCAUCUGUCAGCUCCAGCUUCCCAUACGGGGACAUGAGAGAAGCCUCCCACAGGAUGGUAAAACAUCCGGGUAACACCCUUGCAAUGUCUCUCACACCAGAAGCGACUUGCAGUUUCUCAAGUCGCUCCUGACAUGAAAAAAUAUUAUUAUUAUUAUUAUUACAGUAGAGUCUCACUUAUCCAACCUAAACGGGCCGGCAGAACGUUGGAUAAGUGAAUAUGUUGGAUAAUAAGGAGAGAUUAAGAAAACGCCCAUUAAAUAUCAAAAUAGGUUAUGAUUUUACAAAUUAAGCACCAAAACAUCAUGUUAUACAACAAAUUUGACAGAAAAAGUAGUUCAAUAUGCAGUAAUGCUAUGUAGUAAUUACUGUAUUUACGAAUUUAGCACCAAAAUAUCAUGAUAUAUUGAAAACAUUGACUACAAAAAUGCAUUGGAUAAUCCAGAACGUUGGAUAAGCGAGUGUUGGAUAAGUGAGACUCUACUGUAUUAUUAUUAUUAUAUAUGCAACAAGAUCACUAUGCUGGCUUUUGUACUGGAUCACAUGUCGGACACUUCCCAAGUGUCUAGGACUAUGUGAUGUAUCGGCGAAUAAUGCAUGCAGAUCCAAGUAGGGUGGCCUUUUGCAGCUGACAGGUGGUAAUUUUGUCAGCGCCUAUUGUUUUCAAGCGCAGGCCAAGGUCUUCAGGCCCUGCACUCCACUGGGACCACCACUGGGACCACCUUCCCUGGCUUGUGCCAGAGUCUUUGCAGUUUGACCUUCAAAUCCUCGUAUUGUGUCAGCUUAUCAUACAACAUUG
rnacentral:lncRNA from 11 species